AUGAAUAUGCUAGUAAAUAGCGGCGGACAUUCUACGCUAACCAGCUUCACAAUUUGCCACUGUGGUUAUGUAAAUGUCCUAAAUGAUGAUAUCUUAGCAAAGCUAUGGGUUUAUGUCCAAGUGAAGCUUCUUUGUCAUAGUUACUCUGAUAGGACAUUUAUGGUUCUAUUCUUUUGUGCACAUAUUGUAUGUGCAAUUUUGUGUAGUUUUUGUACCUUGUUUUUGCUCUAUUAUUUUAUAGUUUAUUUAUCUGCUAAUAUGUAUGUUGUGUGUUUUUGUGGUUUAGUUCUUGGUUUUCUUAGUUACCAUAGUUUACCCCCCUGA
rnacentral:rRNA from 1 species